rnacentral:rRNA from 1 species
GGACCCUACUGCUAUCGGGGUGAGACUAAGCCAUGCAAGUCUUGCGUUUCGAGCUAUGUCGAGACGCGGCGUACGGCUCAGUAACACGUGGCUAACCUGCCCUUGGGACAGGGACAAUCCCGGGAAACUGGGGCUAAUACCUGAUAAGCGAGGAGAUCUGGAAUGAUUCCUCGUUCAAAGGACGCCUUGAUCAUGCUUCUAGGCGUUGCCCAAGGAUGGGGCCGCGACCGAUCAGGUUGUUGGUAGGGUAAAGGCCUACCAAGCCUAUAACCGGUACGGGCUGUGAUAGCGGGAGCCCGGAGAUGGGCACUGAGAUAAGGGCCCAGGCCCUACGGGGCGCAGCAGGCGCGAAAACUCCGCAAUACGCGAAAGCGUGACGGGGUUACCCCGAGUGCCGUCCGCUGAGGGUGGCUUUUCCGCAGUGUAAUCAGCUGUGGGUAAUAAGGGGAGGGCAAGACUGGUGUCAGCCGCCGCGGUAACACCGGCUCCCCGAGUGGUAGGGAUGAUUAUUGGGCUUAAAGCGUUCGUAGCCGGCCUUACAAGUCUUCCGUUAAAUCCAACGACCUAAUCGUUGGGCCGCGGGAGAUACUAUGAGGCUAGGGGGCGGGAGAGGUCGACGGUAUUCCAGGGGUAGGGGUGAAAUCCUAUAAUCCUUGGAGGANCACCAGUGGCGAANGCGGUCGACCAGAACGCGCUCGACGGUGAGGGACGAAAGCUGGGGGAGCGAACCGGAUUAAAUACCCGGGUAGUCCCAGCUGUAAACGAUGCGGGCUANGUGUUAGGGCGG